rnacentral:hammerhead_ribozyme from 1 species
AGCCGAAACGCCGCAAGGCGUCAGCCGGGGAUGGUCUCCCGGUUCUGAUGAUGGCAGACCAGA